rnacentral:rRNA from 1 species
ACGCUCGACACCUACGGGGGCAGCAGUGGGGAAUAUUGGGCAAUGGGCGCAAGCCUGACCCAGCAACGCCGCGUGAAGGAAGAAGGCCCUCGGGUUGUAAACUUCUUUUGACAGGGACGAAACAAUANCGGUACCGUCUCGAUAANACNCGCGUACUAACGUCGCCAGCAGCCGCGGUAAUCUGAGCGGGCUGGCAAGGC